AGGCCUGAUCCUGCUUUGUAGCAGGCAACAGUCAGGAGCUUGCAGAGCUGGACAGCUGGAAUAUCCCUCAAAGUCUGGCUCUCCUCAUUCAGUGAAUGAGCACUCGGUCAUACCUAUGGUUUCACGUGGGUUCCACACCCACCCUUCUGACAUUCAUUCUCCAUGAUAGCACAAGGACCAAGCAAUAUACUCAUGGCAAUGAGGACCCAUGAGAGUAAGAUAAAACCACAUUCCAGCCAAGGACUGAAACUGCUGCAUUUUCCAUACUUUUCACCUAUCCAGCUGAUCUAAUGCCAUACAAGAAAAAGCUCUGGAAGCAAUCAAUAUUGCUUGGGAACAGUUCUAUAAUUCAGUUAUUUGUUCUUUUCAGAGGCUGAGUGCAGUAGGAAGCCAUUCAUCAGCAUGCUGAAGAAAAUACCCACAUCCUGUGAGUUUUAUGAACAUCACCAUUUAGAAGGAAGACCUGAUGUUUUUCUGUAGAUGUUCAAUAAAGUGGCUACUGUUAGGAAUAGCCCUGGUAAAGUACA